UACGGGGGGAGCAAGCGUUGUUCGGAUUUACUGGGCGUAAAGGGCGCGUAGGCGGCCACGACAAGUCAGUUGUGAAAUCUCUGGGCUUAACUCAGAACGGUCAACUGAUACUGUCGGGCUAGAGUGCAGAAGGGGCAACUGGAAUUCUCGGUGUAGCGGUGAAAUGCGUAGAUAUCGAGAGGAACACCUGCGGCGAAGGCGGGUUGCUGGGCUGACACUGACGCUGAGGCGCGAAAGCUAGGGGAGCAAACGGGAUUA
rnacentral:rRNA from 1 species